GACGAACGCUGGCGGCGUGCUUAACACAUGCAAGUCGAACGGAAAGGCCCUGCUUUUGUGGGGUGCUCGAGUGGCGAACGGGUGAGUAACACGUGAGUAACCUGCCCUUGACUUUGGGAUAACUUCAGGAAACUGGGGCUAAUACCGGAUAGGAGCUCCUGCUGCAUGGUGGGGGUUGGAAAGUUUCGGCGGUUGGGGGUGGACUCGCGGCUUAUCAGCUUGUUGGUGGGGUAGUGGCUUACCAAGGCUUUGACGGGUAGCCGGCCUGAGAGGGUGACCGGCCACAUUGGGACUGAGAUACGGCCCAGACUCCUACGGGAGGCAGCAGUGGGGAAUAUUGCACAAUGGGCGGAAGCCUGAUGCAGAAACGCCGCGUGCGGGAUGACGGCCUUCGGGUUGUAAACCGCUUUCGCCUGUGACGAAGCGUGAGUGACGGUAAUGGGUAAAGAAGCACCGGCUAACUACGUG
rnacentral:rRNA from 1 species